UACGAAGGGGGCUAGCGUUGCUCGGAAUCACUGGGCGUAAAGCGCACGUAGGCGGCUUGUUAAGUCAGGGGUGAAAUCCUGGAGCUCAACUCCAGAACUGCCUUUGAUACUGAAGAUCUUGAGUUCGGGAGAGGUGAGUGGAACUGCGAGUGUAGAGGUGAAAUUCGUAGAUAUCCGCAAGAACACCAGUGGCGAAGGCGGCUCACUGGCCCGAUACUGACGCUGAGGCACGAAAGCGUGGGGAGCAAACAGG
rnacentral:rRNA from 1 species